UACGUAGGGUGUGAGCGUUAAUCGGAAUUACUGGGCGUAAAGCGUGCGCAGGCGGUUAUAUAAGUCAGAUGUGAAAUCCCCGGGCUCAACCUGGGACCUGCAUUUGAGACUGUAUAGCUAGAGUACGGUAGAGGGGGAUGGAAUUCCGCGUGUAGCAGUGAAAUGCGUAGAUAUGCGGAGGAACACCGAUGGCGAAGGCAAUCCUUUGGACCUGUACUGAUGCUCAUGCAUGAAAGCGUGGGGAGCAAACAGG
rnacentral:rRNA from 1 species